CUCGGCGAAGAGGGUUAGUUCAGUGUGGUUUAGCUGUGGGGUACAGGGCAUCCCGGAAUUAAGCUAGGAGUUAGAGUCUCCUUACCGUUUGCAACGGUAUCUGCGCUUUUUUGGCCAGCAGAAGUGGACUUCGGGCGUGUAACUUUAACCUAAAACUUCAAAGUUUGGGUUGGUUGACGCUUUUAAAUUGAGUUAGGGAUUUUAGAAAUGAGGCCAGAAACAGUUAAAGUCUUGAUACUGGUUAAUUGGUGGGCGGUUAUUUUAAAUUUGUCUAAAUUGGUUAGGCGCGAAAGCUGACAGAUCUGACAGUGGUUGUAAAUAUAAGACGUCGUUGUAAUAUAGAAUAAGAAAAUUUGGUGUGAGAGAUCUUUGUGUGUCGAGUCAGUAAUGCACUGACUGCCUGCUGCUAUUUUUGGAGGUGUGUGUGUGAGUGAAAAUGCAAAUGAGUAAGCAGUGAACUGUUUAAGCCACAGUUGGUUUUACAAAUACUGCUGCAAACACUGUAGAGUGUGUGUUUAAAAUGCCAUUUAUGUUUAGUAAAGGACUAUAAAUAAAGUUUUGAGUUGCCGUAGGGGAUGCAUAGUAACUGACUGAGUUUGGAUGUAGAUAUAUAAAUAGAUUGAGUGCACUGUAUAUACUUAAGACUAACACAUCACUUUCAGUAGUAACUUUUCUCCAGCAUUAGUUGCUGGUGGGUUUUAUUUUUUCAAUUUCUUGUGUGUGCGGUGAGAAUUAAUGGAGGUUUUAAAAUGAAGUUAGUGUUAACACAUAGGAGUUGUUUCAAGGCAGCAUUUAGCUAUGAUGAAAUGUAUACAGGAGUAAUUGCUUAUAUGCUUAAACUUAAUUGAUUAAAGUGGUUGUUUUCUUUUGGAGUAGAUUAACUUGCAGCAGCGACAACUUGUGCACAGGAUGUUGAUGAUCAGAUAAGGGAAAAUAGAGCGAGCAACUGGACGUGAAAGCAGGGCUUAAAGAGUUCUAAAGGGAUGAGUAACGUUGAAGAGUAUAGAUAAAUACAAGUAAAUAAGUUAAGAAGAUAAUUAGGAUCAGGCUUUUGAUUAAAGAGUCCCAGAUAGGAUAAGUUAGGGAGAUGCAAGAAAAGGUGUUUUGUUUCCUUUGCAGAAGAUCUCGGCGACCACAGGAGGGGCGAGGAUCCUGGAGAUCUCGAGGUUCGAGACCACCAGAGAAGGGUCUGCGUGAGGACACAAUGUAUUGUGACCUCUGGUGUUCCAGAGGUCAAAAGGGGGAGUGUCGAGGAGGGAAAUUAUUUUACUGCUAUUGUUAAAUAAUUGUCAUUGCAUUAAUAAUAUAAUUUGCAGCAUGGAUAUUGCAUUCCAAGGUUUAAACAGUGUCUCUUUCAGAAAGACUGAGUUGCAGGCUGACAGGAAGUUGUAUGCAGAAGUGAAACCAGGAAGUUAUUUUGAGCCGCAGGCUAAGACGAGACUUUAACAAUGUAACAGAUAGCUUUAAGAAGGCCUUAAGAUCAGAUCAUUUUAUAUUAAGGUUUUAGUAGAGGUUCUUGAUUAAAACAUUUAUUUAGUAGAAGACAUACACAUAGUCUCAGUGAGCUUCUGGUCUGGUAAAAGGUCAGAAGUGCAACAGGUGAAUUGAGAAAGAGCAUGUGAGGUCAACACACACACACACACACACUUUAAAUUAGAUUUAUUUAGAGGAAGAGGUUAGUUAUGUUUGGUUGUAACUACAAAAUUGUCUCGGUAAAAGAGGAACCGUUUCUUGUUGUCUCGACAAGAAAGAGGAACAAUUCAUUUUAAGAUAAGAACGGAAAGUACCAAGCCAUGAAAAU
ensembl:lncRNA